ACAUGUAGGUUUCGUACAUACUGCUAAAGAAGUGGCUGAGGACGGAGCAUCUGUUGAGGAAAGUGAUUGUCCUCCCGGCUUGUGGUGUGGUUCGGCGUAAAAAUAGCAGAGGAAAUGCUGGAGGACCGAAUGAGAACUGGAAAUGGGAUUAGGAUUAACAUAUGUCAUAAUGUCUACAAACGUAAUCGAUAAUCCUGAAUACAUUCAUAU